AGAUGCAUCUAUCCCAGUGGCUCAGGGCUCAGGCUCCUGUUUUCCUCCCUGGCUUUUGAAAGGCAUUAUCUAUUUGUGCUGCUGAACAAGGAGGUGUGAAGGAAGAGAAUAUUAAAUUCCGAGCAGUAGAGAGUGCGUAGAGGGAUGUGUUUUAAUAUGAAGAUGAUUUAUCUCAUGCUUUAUGAAGCUGCGAAGACACUGUGGAGUCUGGUGGAUGUAAAUGAGCCCAGGACUCAGUAGGAGCACGGAUCUGUGAGGAGGUGGCCUCCUGCAGGAUGUGUCCUGGCAUAGCAUGUCUUGUCCCAGCAGCCUCUCCAAGGACAGAGCUGGGAAAUGAUUUGAGGUAACCCUCAAAAUAUUUUCACCCCCACGUAUGUGGUUGCCAUCAGCUCCAGUCUCAAAUGAGAUCUAGCUAUGUCAGUUGCCCAUGCUUAUGAUUUUGCAUAGAACACGAUUAGCAAGUUAUGUGUAUGUACAGAGUACAAGGUUUAACAUGAAGUAUUUGUACCCCAGAAUCUGAGCUUUCCUCAGCUCAGCUCUACUUCACAACAAGCUGAGAGUUUCCUUGAGGUCUUGGCCAAUUAUGGGAAGGGCUUUGGCUUUCCUGAGUGAGGACAAACCCUCACGCUGUCCAUAGCAGAUUCCCAUCUUCACAACAGAAGGCUUCAAGCUCUGCCUUUAUGAAAGGAUAUGCUAGAGCGUUUUCUGCUUUAUCUAAUGAGCAAGUAGUAUGUGAGGCAGGAGGAAGUAGGAAGAGGAGGAGAAAUUUGGAUCAGAAUGACCGUCACUGUAGGUACGAACACCUCACCACACACAAGCUUGGAUGUAUCCUCCUGUGACACUGCCACAGAGCUUCUAGCAUCUUGCCAUAGCAAUCAGAGGGCGAAAGGGUUCUUUGACAGUAAUCUAAGCACUCUGCAGACAUGUGCCUUUCUUUUCCGUUGUCUCUUUGUGUUCUGUCUUUGUGUCACAGUUGAUUGAUUUAGACUCUGUAAUCGCUUUGGCACACUUUAUAUGAAACUUGCCUUACUGAACACGAUUUCAAGUAAAUGGUUGAACGUUGAGACAUUGUUCCUCUGAGAGAGGUAGCUCUAGACAUCAGACGCUUUCUCAGUGACAUUUCUCCUAUAACACAUUCCGCAUGGUAGUGGAAGGACAAAGAGUUAUACAACCAAUUAGUUUCAAAGGUGGGUUUGAGAUCUGCGGCCAUCUGCCUAGGAGAGAUACUCCUCAUCAUCCACUGUGCGCUAGGAGCAGUCACUGACGUAUGUCACAGUAACAUCAGGCAGUCCCAGAUUCUGUUGGUCCCUAAGGAGGACUGUAUGUUGAGACUAGAGCACAUGCUUGAUUUCUUGUCCACUGGUUUCUAAUGGCUUUGACAUUGGUACACUGUGUACGUUUUCAUUUCUAAUUACCUAAUUCUACUUUUUAACUCUAGUAACCUGAAGAUUUCCUGAAACACUUUAACAGAGUUUCCACUGACUUUAAAGUAAGUUUAAUUUUAAAAAGUGGUUAAGUGCAGAUUUUUAUGAGGCAAAAGGAUCCAGAAUUCUCUUUAAAAAAAUAUGGCUGUUGCAAAAACUCUCAGAGCAAUUUUUCAGAGUGACAGGAAUAACAUAUGUGGCAGGAUGAGCAGCAGUCAAUCUCACAGCGCUAAAAUCUCUUGAUUGAGAUUGAGAUGCUAAAAUAUCUUGAUUGAGCAAAGCAUUCAUUUGUGGAUGUAGAAAUAGGGCCAGGAGAAGAUCUGAUUGUCUUCUAAACCACCAGUAAAUGGCAUGGAAGUGCCUAUACCUUGCAGCCACCUCUGUCUCUGUGAGAAACUCAUAGAUGAAAAAUACAAAGGAUUUAUUUUGUUGGACCACAGACUGCUUGUUAAGACCUUGCUUAUUUUAUCAUCCGUAAAACAUGAAAACACAAACACGAAGAUUUACACCAUAUAUCUAACCUGCCAUCAGCUAGCUAAUCUGUGGUGUAUAAAUAGAGAUGCUAAUCACUAGAUUUGACACUUAUCUUCAAUAAUAUAAGAUAAAUUUCAGUUUAAUAUGAUAGCAGGCUCCAUACUGUGUUUGAACACUUCUCUCAACCGCUAUUUUCAGCUCUUGAGCCAGCUUUUCAGCAGGAGAGGGCUGCUGGGAAAAGUCACCUUUUCAGUGCCACUCUGAAGACAGCACUGCUAGCCAGGAGUGCUUUCUAGCUUUGCUUUUUAAAAAUUGUACCAAUUCUCUACUUUACUUUCCAGCAUUUUGCAUUUGAUGAGCAAAUAAGUUGCCUAUCUUCUCAUAUUUAAGAAAAUAGAUAGUUCUUGUCCUGGUGCUGAUAAGGGGGACUGCACAAACCGUUUUUCUGGUGGAAGAGCUGCAGCAAAGUGUCUGACACUACCUGGUAUGAAGCCAUUUCUGCUGUGUCAGACAGCAUAAAGCCUCCAGAUUCAUGCUUCUUUCCAUGAACUGCUUCAAACAAAACGUUAUGUUUAAUCCUGGAGAAAUGGCCUGUGGGAAUACAAGAAAAACUGUUCAGAGCAGCAGCUGCGUAGCAAGGUAAACAGCAUGAGAACCAAGGACACCUCUAGAAGAAGAAAGAAAGGCUCACAGCUCUGAUUGGUUAACCACCCACAUGGACGGUUGAAGAGUGUAGAAUGCUCUGUUGACAUGUAAAGGUGGAUGGGCAAGUUGUAGGGAUGAAUGGGAAAGCUAGAAAAAGAAAACUUGUGAAGGUAUAUAAGUGAUGUGAGAACUUGUAAUAAACAGUUUGGAUC
ensembl:lncRNA